rnacentral:lncRNA from 1 species
AUUACUUGUUAUAAUAGGUCUUAAUUUAGCCUUAUCACUGGUGUUUUGGAGGGUUUUAUGAGGUGGUUUUGAUUGAACUCAUUGUUUUCGUUGACCCUGAUAUCUGACAAAUCUUACUCUUCAUGCAGUUGGUGAUCAGGAACUCUUAUUUUUUUUUUCUUCGUCUGUUUUCUUGACCAACUUACGAGCAAAUGGAGGAUGGUUGUGGUAAUGAGAUUCCUCUUUAAUUUGAUCACACACUUCACCCAUUGUUUAAUUACAUAAUUGCUGAAAUAUUUUAUUUUUUGGUUACAAGUGCAAUCAAAGUAUUGGAUUUGCAUGUGUAUCACAUCAAUAUCAAUAAAAUUCUAUAACAUUUGCUGCUGAUUGGUUAAGGCUGACAUUAUAAAAAAUUAUGAUGUUCUUUACUUGGUAGUUCACUAACAUUUUGAUUCAUUUUUUAUUAUGUUUGGAAUCAUUGAAAUUGUAUUUGAUUUGAUUUAAAAUAUAUGAAUUUGAACAUAUGGGAUUAUUGUAAAAAGUUGAUUUUACUUGAUCUGUAAAUAAAUUUGUUUUCGCGCUUUGACCAUUAAAGAUUAAAUAAGCGUGUUAUCGUGGUAUUUCUUCGUUAUUGCCCUAUAUAAUAUUUUUCAAAAUGGCUGCUCUAGCAAGUAUGAUAUUGUCCAUGUAUAUAUAGAAAUUAUGAUUACACCUCAUUUUCACUCAAGUUCAAAUAUAUUAUAGUGAAUCUCUAAAUUUUCACAACUAAAGAAUAAGAAUAUUUUUUCGGCGAACAGGAAUAAGAAUCUUAUAUCAAUUAUUUAGAUUAUAUUUCCCAACUAAUGAUUUCAUUUAUAAAUCAAAUCAAUCCCCAAUUCCAAUCACACUUUGUAUCAUUCUGACAAAAAAGUUGUAUAUUAAACCAACAAUUCACUCUAACCAUACUAUGUUUCUUGUACUGUAUUAUUUAUUGUUGUUAAUUUGAGAUAUGCUUGUUUAUUUUUUCCGCGGAAGAACAAUGGGCACCUAAAAAAUCUACUGAAAAAGCUCCUGAAAAGAAGGGAAAGAAAGUAGAGCUAGAAAAGGAAGAACCACUGGAUUCUUUGGCGGAAAAACAUCUUCAACAAAGGUUUAUUGUUUGCAUCUGUUUUGUUUACUCUGAUUCCAAUGUUCCUUUUAGAAUAACAUGUUCUUAGUGCUGGU